rnacentral:rRNA from 1 species
GACGAACGCUGGCGGCGUGCCUAACACAUGCAAGUCGAACGAAACGUCCGGGUCUAGUGGCGCACGGGGGCUUACGGCGGGGGAAGUUGCCCGUAGGUUCGGAAUACCUGACUGAAAGGGGAGCUAAGGAAGGAGAGUGUAAUCGGACCUAGGAUUUAUCGCCUUUGGGUGGGGGCGCGUUGGAUUAGCUAGUUGGUAGUGUAAAAGCCGAGCAAGGCGACGAUCCAUAGCUGGUCGGAGAGCAGGAUCCGCCACACUGGAGAUGAGACACGGCCCAGUCUCCUACGCGAGGCAGCAGAGGAGAAUACUGGACAAUGGGCGAAAGCCUGAUCAAGCAAUGCCGCGUGAGUGAUGAAGGCCUUUGGGUUGUAAAGCUCUUUUACCCGGGAUGAUAAUGACAGUACCGGGAGAAGAAGCUCCGGCUAACUCCGUG